rnacentral:rRNA from 1 species
AGGACGAACGCUGGCGGCGUGCUUAACACAUGCAAGUCGAGCGGUAAGGCCUUUCGGGGUACACGAGCGGCGAACGGGUGAGUAACACGUGGGUGAUCUGCCCUGCACUCUGGGAUAAGCCUGGGAAACUGGGUCUAAUACCGGAUAUGACCUGCUCUCGCAUGGGGGUGGGUGGAAAGAUUUAUCGGCGCAGGAUGGGCCCGCGGCCUAUCAGCUUGUUGGUGGGGUAAUGGCCUACCAAGGCGACGACGGGUAGCCGACCUGAGAGAGUGACCGGCCACACUGGGACUGAGACACGGCCCAGACUCCUACGGGAGGCAGCAGUGGGGAAUAUUGCACAAUGGGCGAAAGCCUGAUGCAGCGACGCCGCGUGAGGGAUGAAGGCCUUCGGGUUGUAAACCUCUUUCAGCAGGACGAAGCGCAAGUGACGGUACCUGCAGAAGGAGCACCGGCUAACUACGUGCCAGCAGCCGC